rnacentral:rRNA from 1 species
AUUGAACGCUGGCGGCAGGCCUAACACAUGCAAGUCGAGCGGUAGAGAGAAGCUUGCUUCUCUUGAGAGCGGCGGACGGGUGAGUAAUGCCUAGGAAUCUGCCUGGUAGUGGGGGAUAACGUUCGGAAACGGACGCUAAUACCGCAUACGUCCUACGGGAGAAAGCAGGGGACCUUCGGGCCUUGCGCUAUCAGAUGAACCUAGGUCGGAUUAGCUAGUUGGUGGGGUAAUGGCUCACCAAGGCGACGAUCCGUAACUGGUCUGAGAGGAUGAUCAGUCACACUGGAACUGAGACACGGUCCAGACUCCUACGGGAGGCAGCAGUGGGGAAUAUUGGACAAUGGGCGAAAGCCUGAUCCAGCCAUGCCGCGUGUGUGAAGAAGGUCUUCGGAUUGUAAAGCACUUUAAGUUGGGAGGAAGGGCAGUAAAUUAAUACUUUGCUGUUUUGACGUUACCGACAGAAUAAGCACCGGCUAACUCUGUG